AAUACAUAAUACAUAAUACAUAAUACAUAAUACAUCAUACAUAAUAACCAGCCCUAGUUCGAAUUCAAGCAAGGUGCGCGCGUGCGCAAAACGAGCCACGGGCCACACUAAACCAGAAACCCGGCCACACUAAAUCGGGUAAAUAGAUAGCACAAGCAAAAUCGAUAGACCCAGCCAAUCUCUAUAUAAAGCGGCCGGCUGGCCUCUGGGAACUCAGUCAGUGGCCGGCAGCGAUCGGAUGGAAGUCAUCAACCAACAGCGAUCAGCCAGCUCUACAGCAUGAUCUCCCAGUGGUAAAUAUAAUAAACCAGGAUAGUAAGUGUUCAUUCCUAUUGCCUCUGCUGACUUAAGGGGCCAACAACAAUUCUCUCUGCUGACUUAAGGGUCCAACAACAAUUCUCUCUGCUGACUUCAGGGUCCAACAACAACUCUCUCUUCUGACUUCUGGGUCCAACAACAAUAACAACUCCCUCUGCUGACUUCAGGGUCCAACACAAACAACAAUUCUCCCCGCUGACUUUCGGGUCCGAUAACAACAACAACCGUACCUUCCCCAUUGCUGACUUAAUGCGUUUCUAUGUAUUCCCAGGCAUUGCACGACAUCCAGGCACCGAACACGAGGGACCCGUUUACAGCCGGAGGAUCCAGACGCGAGAAGCUCCACUCCCGGAUACCGACCUCAGACGCGUGAAGACCCACGCCGAUCGAGCAAGCCCCGCAGCCAUACCAUUCCCUUCCAUAUCAUUCCGUGUAGAAAUUAGAAUAAAUCAUCUCUGUAUAUGCCUAAUUAAGGUUGAAA